rnacentral:rRNA from 1 species
CAGCCGCCGCGGGAACACGAAGGGUGCAAGCGUUAAUCGGAAUUACUGGGCGUAAAGCGUGCGUAGGCGGUUUGUUAAGUCUGUUGUGAAAUCCCCGGGCUCAACCUGGGAAUGGCAAUGGAUACUGGCAAGCUAGAGUGUGUCAGAGGAUGGUGGAAUUCCCGGUGUAGCGGUGAAAUGCGUAGAGAUCGGGAGGAACAUCAGUGGCGAAGGCGGCCAUCUGGGACAACACUGACGCUGAGGCACGAAAGCGUGGGGAGCAAACAGGAUUAGAUACCCCUGUAGUCCCUGUCUCUUAUAC